rnacentral:lncRNA from 10 species
ACAAAGUGCUGGGAUUCCAGGCGUGAGCCACCACGCCCGGCCUCUUCCCUUUCUUUUAAGGGGGGUUCAGAGUCUCCCAUAAAGGCCCAGCUGAGAGUAGGCUAAAGAUAUUUACAUAGGGCUGAGUCCUGAUACUGUGCUCUGUGUACAUGUGCUCCAGGGGCUUGGCCCUGGGGACAAAAGACACUGAAGGAUCUGUAAUCCUCCAAGAGGGCAGUGUGCAGCUGUCCUAGGGUCUCCAGCAACUUGUAGCCAGUUACCUCGUCCUGCAAUGUGAUUCAAUUCAGGAAUGAGCAUCCUUCCUGAUUUGCAGAAAGGAGGUGAAGGACAAGUGACUGCGACAACCAGCCCACUCUAUCUGGAGUGACCACAGGGUGCUCCUCAGCUACCCAGAGAGCAAGGGACCCAGCUCGUUAGCUCUGAGGAUUUAAGGCUAGGAGCAUCAGGAUGGGAGAGGUAAGGAGGAGUGCAGAGAAGUUGGCAGGCAGGAACUUCAACCCCAGGGAGCUCUUGUGAUGCUUUCACCUUACUUAUCAACACAUAGAAGCUGGACUUCAUCAAAAGCCUAUCUGAGACUCUCUGCCUCUUAAUAGGUGAUCUUAUUUCAUCCUCAG